rnacentral:misc_RNA from 1 species
GAUCUGUUUGCACAAGCCUCUGAGAGGGAUGAAGAUAUUGUUUUCUUUGAUCANAUUAUGCCGGUAAA